UUAAAUAUAACUUUGUUAGUUUACAGAAAACAACAUAAAGUCAACAAAUGCCGCAGCUUCAUUCUGAAACAUGCAGUGAUUGACACCUUUUAUGUUACAGAGCAUCCGACAUUUAAAGCCAUCUGAAGCCACCACCUUGGAGACACCUGCUCACACUUCUCAGCGUGUGUUCAACAUGUGGAAAUAAUUUACAUCACACAACACUUCAUCAAUCUUCCCCACCGGAUAAAACCUGGCAGCGAUGCAGGCUGAUCAUCAGGUGACCAGCAGCACUUCUCUCCAGAUCCCUCCCAAGCUUGAGACUGUCCUGGUCCAGGCCAUCAUCAAUCCUAAGCGAGGUAUGGAGGGACCCCUCCAGACACCACAGCCCCCCAGGACCUGCAGCUCUCCCGGAGCUGCUGGGAAACCAUGCUGGAGCUUGGAUGCGAGGGUGGCCGUGUUUCUGGUGACUCUGGGUGGAGCUUUAAUCCUGUUGCUGCUGUACAAACUCUUACAGCUGAGACACAGGCUGAAGUUGACCCAGGCGAGGCACGCGCUAGAGUACUACAGCUUCUACCACAGCGCCACCUACACACUCAAACAUGCUACGUCGUGUCAGGCCCUACAAGCCAAAAGUGAGUUGGUCCCUGAAGCUACACCACCUGUACAAACCGUAACCCUGGUGAAACCUACGGUCGUCGCUCAACUUCCGCCCCCACCGGUGCCUUCUCCACCUCCGAUGCCACUCCCCCCACCUCCUGCCCUGCCGACACCACUGCUCCAUACUCCAUCUUCUCUCACUCCAACACCUUCUGUCCUGGCCUUCCCUCUCCCCCUAUCUGUGAUCCACACCACCCCGCCAAGCCCUCACCUGUCAUGGGGCGCCUGCUCAGAUGCAGAUGUGUACUCUCGGAUCGGUGCGUUCAGGCCCUCCAGGCUCUCCAGCCUCUCAAACCAUUCAAAAGUCAUCCUAUUUGAACACUCGUCUGUCUGACCUCUAUCGCAGAACUAGGUUGGAGAUUUCAACUUAUGAGAAAACUGUAGUGAUUACCCAAAACACAUUCUUCUGUUGCAUUAAUAAUUAUCUCAGGGGGUGAUUAAGUGCCCAGUGUACUGUAUAAGUAUGCAGUAUACUGUGCACUUAGUAUUUGAAGUUGAAAUACUUUCACGGCCCUCCAAAACGUCAAAGAUUUAGUUUGAGUUUUGUGCGACACUGAACUGAUUUGUGUACUUAUCCUUUAACAAGUACCAUACUUUGUGCCAGACCUCUGCAAAUUGCAGAUUGCAGUUUGGAGCAAAAAAUCUGUUAUUAUGUUUUGUUGCGUUGAAGAGAGGGGUUGUCUCUAAAUUCAGACUGGUGGAAGUUAAGAGAACCUUCUCUCUUUGUAACGCACUGCUGCCAAAUAUAUUUACUGUGAGAGAGUCCUGAAGUCUGCUUUGUCUGCAUAUUGUAGUGGAGCCCAUUGUUUCCCAAAUUGGGAGGCAUUUCCGUAGCCGGUUUUCCAUGGCAGGGUCCCUCCCUGUUUCACACCAUUCUCUAUAUUCUCAGUGUUUCCUCUCUCUCUCUCUCUCUCUCUCUCUCUCUCUCUCGAGAGAGAGAUCGAGAGAGGAAGAGAUCUGUUCAGGGAGCUGGAGAAGUCGCAUCAUUUCGAUCCUCUCCUAUCUACGCAUCAUAUAGAGAGAGUUAGAACUUUUCUGUCUCUCUCUCUCUCACUCCCUCUCCCUCUCUCUCUGCCUUUCUCUCUCUAUCUCUCUCUAUCUCUAUCUCUCUCUCUCUCUCUCUCCCUGUCUGUCUCCUCUCUCUCUCACUCUCUCUCUCUCUCUCUCUCUCUCUCCCUGUCUGUCUCUCUCUCUCACUCUCUCUCUCUCUCUCUCUCUCUCUCUCUCUCUCUUCUCUCUCUCUCUCUCUCUCUCUCUCUCUCUCUCUCUCUUUAGCAAUCUUACUUUAUUCAAACAAAUGUCACAAUUUUAGUCAUGCAUUUUAAUUGCUUAAUUUGUCUUUAUAACACAUUCAAAAUCUCAGUACAAUUAGUACAGGUGAAACUAUUGAAUAAUAUGUUCCUUUGUGACCAGACUAAGACUUUGGAGAUGAUCACAGAUUGAUUUCUUAAGUAGCCCUGUCGACACACUAAUAACAGUUUGUCGUUGAUAUGGUAGCCUGAGCAUUCAUCUUGACCCUAACAAGCUGUUAACAUGAAUUUUCUUUUAAUAUUUAACCUUGUUUUCCCAACAGGCCUCUCAUUUAUAAUUCAACAAUAGUUGAGGGAAGCUGUUUAAGUUGCUUGUUUGUUACUUGCUGCUUGCCGGGGUGAAAACUGAGACCUUUUGUGACAUUCCCCCUUAGUCUUUUCUGUAUUAAGCUAGUGAGGCUGUCUCCAUACUAAAAGCCAGUUAAUUCAAUCUGAGUAUGUACAGCUGUGUUGUCUCUUAAUUGGUUGAAAGCCGAGUAGGGAAGACAAUUGUAACAAUACACUGCUACUACAAUUAAAUAUAAUGAGGGAGCGUUAUGCAAGGAUAAAUAUGAAUGUGUUCUGGAUCUGAUUAACAUUAAUUGAAUGUUUUCAUCUCAAAAUAUGAUUUAUCGUAUUUUAGAAUGCUCAUAGAAAUUCUUCAUACAGCAAUAAAAUAUAUCUGAGAUGAUGUGUGAUACUGGGGCAGGAUCAGCAAAGAAAUGGAGAAAUAAAUUGAAUUGAAACAACUGGUGGUCCAUCCCCACUGAAGCCACCACCUGCUCUCCUUCCUGUGAAGUAGUCUACAAGCUUCGGGAAGUGAGGCAGAGGGAUGGUGGCGUGUGCUAGCUUCAAUGCCCCAUAUCGCUAUUUUCCAAAUUACUGUAGCUGUCAUAUUUCAUGAGGUGCCACUGUAAAACUUAUACAACGGAAAAACUGACUCUCGAGACGUACGUUGGUGGAUAAAACAAAGCUAGCUAACCCUUUGGCUAAUGUUGAAUGCAGCUAACUUUAGCAAAUAAAAUCUUAAUACCAAAAAGCUCAACCUCCUGAAGUCCAGCUUUGUGUCCCCAGAUAGAAGGCGAGUCCUCACAAUGUCAUAUGUUUGUCCCCACAACAUGGCUAGCAGUAUUAACUAUUAAAUACAAAAAGGAAACAAAUACAGAUGUUUCAUUUAUUGCCUGCAGGUGGCACUAGCGUAAAACAAUUGUAGAGGCUAUUAAUUACUGUCAUCCUGUGAGUGGCAUCAUCUGCGACAAUGUGUAAAUCUGGAAAUGCACGUGUUUGAUAUAGCUGAGCUUGGUUUCACAUUAACUAAUCUGUGUGUCCUUGCUUCUGAAAUUAAUGUAAACAGUUUUGUGUGGAACAGACUUGACUGAUAAUUGACACUGCUGGUUCACAAAAUGACUUUCUGUAAAUGACUGUUUGUCCUAGAAGCCAUUGACUCAAAGUGCAGAAUCUUGGUAAUUGCGUCUGUCCUCUUCUCAUUUUCUCAUCUCUGCAGCUCUGAGAGGAAAUGGUCAUUGUUCCAAUUGCCCUCAGUGUCGUCACCUCUGCAUGAUACCAAAACAGCUCCUUUACUCGAAAUAUUCAAGAGACGGGACGAGGAAAAACAAAGAAAUGUUUUUCACUGACAAAACUGAUCUUAACAGUCAAGUAGCCAGCCAUUAUGUUUUACAUUUCAUCAUAAAUUCUAUAAAUACAUUUGUGCACUAAUUAUUUAACAUGUUUAAAAUGUACCACAACCAGAGCAAAAGUGAGUUUAGUGAAGUUAUAACUAUAUUUCUAUCAUCAUAUCAAAGAAUAUAUAAUUAUAAUUAUAAAAUAAAACUAAUUUUGUGAUCAUUAUUUCACAUAAACAUGUUUUUUGUCUACUUGUUGUCUUGCUAAAAUCAACAUAAUGUACAUUUCCACAGGACUUCUCAGUAUAGAGUCAUGUUAUACUCACCACUCUGCUGCUUUCUCUGU
rnacentral:lncRNA from 1 species